GCCCGUCUAUCGCAAGAAGCGCGACUGACGAUUGGGCAGAAUCUACAGGGAGUUCCCUCCCCUUCUCCAGUACCGCCUCAAAGCUUCCCGGCGGACCCUGCGCUGAGCGGACAUCUUGAAAUAGAACUAUCACCAAAAGUACCCGCCUCUUAAUAGCUGCUAUUGGUUUAUUAACGAUGUGACGUCAUGAGGCUUUUGGCCUGCCUCCACCAAGCGGGUGGCCUCAAGGAGAACGUGACGAUUGGCCCACGAGAAAGGAAAGCAGGCUUUAGGCUCCAGAGAUUGGCUCAAACAAACUGUCACUCAUCGUCCACUCUGUGGCUUCUCCCAGCUUGUAGGGAAUCCAAGGGGGAAUAAGGGAGCUUGUGCCCAUUUUCCUGCGGGAAAACUGAAGCAGUGAGAGGCUCAAGGAGAGGGAGGUCUUGUCCGGGAUCCCGAAUCAAGUCAGAAAUGGGACUCAGGCAUCGAGGUAUUUAAUCUCUAGCCCUCUACUUAAUUGGUACAAGUUUUUUAAACCCAGUGACCCCACUCAAGCACUUGGCCUUUGCCAAGUCCUACCACGCCGGGAACACCCACCCCCUUCGUCUGGCCAUCAUGAGUCAGUCCCGACACAACUCAGUCGCCACAUCCUCCAGGCAGCUUCCCUCGACCUGUAGAAAAAGUUACUUGUUGAAUGAAGAUGGCAACUACAUGGGACAACUGAGUAAUGGGCCAUGACUAGUCUCAGCUGAGAUAAGCUAUGGCUGUAAAACACCAGAUUCUGAAGACUUCAGUCAGUGCUGCAUUAGGUCAUAGACCACGAAAUGGACAAGAUCACUGGAGAGUUCGUGUGAUUAGAAAGGUGGUUAGAAGACCUGAGUCAAAUCGAAGAGUCGGGUGUCUCUAUGAGGCUGCAAUGAUUCUGCUAAAACCAGCACUGGCAAGAGGCCCCCAGCCUCAGCCUUCCUUCACUUAGGAAUGCCGGCUAGGACCUUCAGGCUAUGCUUUGGGGCCCUUUGGGACAGCGAAAUCAGCAUGAGUAGCACAGAGACGUGGAAAAUGUGGCACUGAAUAGACUGCAGAAAGGAUGUGUGUACACAGUGUGAGAGCUGCAAGAGGGCAGCAGCGCUGCCUCGCCCGACCUGAGCUGGAAGGUGCCCGCUGGGUCAGUCCGAUCGUUUUCUGCUCUGAGCACGAGCACGCCUACCAGCGAGUGCAAAGGCACGCAUUUACAGACAUAAUUCAGUGAAGGGAGUGAUAGCCCUAAGAGGGUGACAACCGCUGGUGGACUGGUAGAUGAGGAGAAACCUGCAAAAAAGGCUCAGAAGGAGCGGUGUGAAGAGAAAAAUGAGAAGCGGAUGGUGUCCUGGAUGCCCCGUGAAGGAAGAGCAUAGCUUUGUUCUGGAGAUAGCUGUUCAGGUGGCAGGAGUUUGUAGGUGCCUCAAAUGAAUAUUUCCAGAAGGAAUGAAUCCCCAAUUUAUAAACUAGAGAGGUCCCUGAACCAAAUCUCCUCUACUUAGUCCUUUAGUUUUUGAGAGAAAGAACACAUAAUAAAAUACUUGAAAAAGUUUUUAAUGUGAAAACAUUUUAAA